GGAAGGUUAAAAUGCAAGUCGAGCGAGCUUGCCUAGAUGAUUUUAGUGCUUGCACUAAAUGAAACUAGAUACAAGCGACCGUCGGACGGGUGAGUAACACGUGGGUAACCUGCCCAAGAGACUGGGAUAACACCUGGAAACAGAUGCUAAUACCGGAUAACAACACUAGACGCAUGUCUAGAGUUUGAAAGAUGGUUCUGCUAUCACUCUUGGAUGGACCUGCGGUGCAUUAGCUAGUUGGUAAGGUAACGGCUUACCAAGGCAAUGAUGCAUAGCCGAGUUGAGAGACUGAUCGGCCACAUUGGGACUGAGACACGGCCCAAACUCCUACGGGAGGCAGCAGUAGGGAAUCUUCCACAAUGGACGAAAGUCUGAUGGAGCAACGCCGCGUGAGUGAAGAAGGGUUUCGGCUCGUAAAGCUCUGUUGGUAGUGAAGAAAGAUAGAGGUAGUAACUGGCCUUUAUUUGACGGUAAUUACUUAGAAAGUCACGGCUAACUACGUGCCAGCAGCCGCGGUAAUACGUAGGUGGCAAGCGUUGUCCGGAUUUAUUGGGCGUAAAGCGAGUGCAGGCGGUUCAAUAAGUCUGAUGUGAAAGCCUUCGGCUCAACCGGAGAAUUGCAUCAGAAACUGUUGAACUUGAGUGCAGAAGAGGAGAGUGGAACUCCAUGUGUAGCGGUGGAAUGCGUAGAUAUAUGGAAGAACACCAGUGGCGAAGGCGGCUCUCUGGUCUGCAACUGACGCUGAGGCUC
rnacentral:rRNA from 1 species